rnacentral:lncRNA from 1 species
UUUUAUUUUCUUGUAAUUAUAUUUAUUUGUUCUUGUCUAAGUUUUAUUUCUUUCUUUUCCAUUUUAGUUUGUUCUGCUCUUACAUAGUUUAGUUUAUUUACUAUAGCAGCUAGUUUGCAGCAGUUAGUUUGUUUGCUCUGUUAGUCUUAUUUACUGUAGUUAGUCAUAGUUUUGUUAGUUCCCUCUGUUAGUCUUAUUUACUGCAGUUAGUCAUAGUUUAGUUUACUUUUUAAUUUCAAAUAAAUUUAUCUUUUAAGUUUGUUAACUAGUCAUUGUCAUAGCUUAGUAAUUU